UAUGAUCUUUUCAUGUAACAAAACCUUUAAGAAUAUAUGGCAUUUUUAUGAGUCAAUUUUGGUCAAAACAUGGGUAUUCUAUUUUUAGUAACACAGCUCUGUGAAGGUGCGUCAUAUGAAAAAAAUAUUAUCACCGAAUGAUUUCCUAUAAACAAUGUUACUAUAUAUAUAAGUAUCGGCUCAAUCCCUGACGGUCGACUUAUCACCCUCUGCCUGAUUUUUACAUGGAACCAUACUUAAAUGAAACAAACUGAUCAAGAGAUAAAUAAAAAUGUAGAGGACAUAUAUAACCCUAAAGGGGUUUCAAUCGGCCAUUGAAGUUAAAUGCCCUCACCUGCAAGUUCAUAAUUUUACUUCUCAUGUGCUAAUAUUGAAGGUAAAUAACAAGCAAUCUUCAAAGAGCCUUCUAAGAGUCCUCAAAACCAGUAUCGAGGUUAAUAGGGGAUAGAGGAACUAACAAAUGGAACUCUUCAAAAUUCGAAGUUGCAAAAAUUACGCUUCACUUGAGUAACUCUUUUAUAUACAAAUUAGUGAUGGCUAAAGACAAUUUAUUUCUGAUGAAAAAAAAUAUCUGCCUGAUUUGAAGAUUAUUUUUCGGAGAGUUGAAAAUCAAUAUUCAAUAUGAGUUAGUGGAUUAAAUUUCUGAUGUUUGGUAGCCGAAAGCGACUAAAAAAGGAUUCACAGCACCAUGUGCUUCCUCUACCGUAUGUAGGUCUGGUAGAUAUCUGAUGGAUGCUCAUAAUCUACAGGACAACAACAGGGGCAAAGACGCUUGUACGAAAAGAUAAAUUGACGGAACGAGCUACAUGUAUAUUUUAAAAAAAAAAUAGGAAAUCGAUAUCUUCAUGCAUCGAAAGGUGCCAAUAAUUUCUAGUUUAAAACAAUCAAAUAUUCUUUCUUCAUUCUCAAGAUCUGCAUAAAAUGGGGAUCGGUAGUAAGAAGCCUAGACUCCCAUCUUGUUUAUUUCCAUAAGAUGGCCAAAGGAUCACAAGCCCACCAGUUGGUCAUGAAUGUCGAGUGUCAUCAAGGUAGAUGGUAUAUUUAAUUUAUGUUGAUAUCUAGGUCAGGAUUUGCAAACUCUGAUGCUAUUACAAAUCAUGUCACAUUCAAUUCUAUAGAAGUUUAAGCAAUAACAGUAACAGGACUGAAGAAAAGGAGGUAUACAUUUUAAAGGAGGAAGAGGGGAAGAAAUGGGGAAACUGUAAGGUUAAUGAACACACCCAGUUAGAUUUUGCGUGUGCGUGUACUAAUUACAUUUGAAAUUUCCAUGAAUGUUUAGAGUAAAACAUAUUUCGAUGAAGUUUUACAGUAAAACACAUCUUGGGGUUUACGAAAUGCCAAAUGUAUAUGGAGAAGAAUCGAGAAGAUAUAUUAGCAGGCCAGCACUGCCAGCAGAUCCUGAAUAUCUGGAAAAGCAUAAAUCCAUCUCUGGGCCCCAUUUCGAUUACCGAUGGGAAAGCUGGUUGGUGACAGCUAAAGCAAUGCAUGCCCCGGAUAUCAUCAGGCUCCGGAUAACACCCGAAGCUAUCUUGGUCGUUAAAGGACUUUUUGGGAUUUUACCUUGUUGAUAUGGUGGAGAGAGAGUCGUCUUCGCAAAUACAGUCUGUAUCACGAGAUGAACAAGAGCUCUGCAACCCUCCAUUGCCAAAAGGAGAGUCAUCAAGACAGCAGAAGAUGACGAUGUUUACAAGAGGAUGAGGAUGUCUUGGAAGGAUUUAAGAGGGAGACCACUGAAACGGUCGAUGAAGGGGUACACUCUAGGAAGGAAAUUUUUUGGUGAAUUUACUUAUAAGCAACUAACAGAGAGUCGGGGCACUGUUAAACCAACGAAUGAGGCACUUACGUAACGCGGACAAGGAAGACAACUACAUUGUGGCUGUAGAUGCGGUACACAAGACCAUCGUCCCAAUGGUACUUAUGUUCUCUUCAGAGUUGUGGGGACAGCAAUGGGGACGC